GGAAAUGUCACGCGUGGGGCGGGCAGGGCCCUGCCCUCCUGCCGGUUCUGCCGGCCGCGAUAUCGCCGCUUUAAGCGGCGGGAGGCUCCCGGCGGAGGUGGGGCCGUGCCGCGGCUCUGCCCCAGAGCAGCCUCCCGGCCCCGCCUCGGCCCGGCCAUGGCGCGGGAGCCGUCACGGAGGGGCCGGGGCAGGGCUGAGAACGAAGUCAAGUGGAGCCCGCGCAUAAAUCUCUCUGAUUUUGCCUUCAGUGUCUGCGGCCUCUCCUGGGAGGAAAAAAUGGUCUUGUUUUCUGCCUCCAUCAGUCACUUCAGGGGGAGUAGAUGAAGCAAAGGAAGCAAAUAUUUCAGAACAGAGCAUGUUAUGCUGAACCUGGUCACACUGGAGAUGGUGGAGAGGCUAAAGUUCAAGUUCACAGACCUCAAAGCUGUGAUUUGUGAGUAGCACCGUGAACAAAGCUGCCUUGUCCUGCUCGUUGCUCAGAGGUUGUGCUGGCAGAAGACUUCACAGAUCCUGCAGUGCCUUCUGCACUCCAGAGUGGUACACAGCCCAGCGUGCAGAGGGGAAACA